CUUAUUUCCUUAUAUUUUAGAUUUAUAGCAAAAAAAAUUGAUCCUACAUAUCUUUUUUACUUCAUUGGCAGUGCUUUACACGAAUGCUUUAUUUUUUUAGGCAUCAAUGUAAAGCAAUGUAUACAUACAUUUAAUAUGCUACUUGUGCAUCCCAUGUUUCCUUUGUAAAUGUUAUGGUUUCUCUUUUGUUUGUUUUUACGUCUUUUUUUCUGAUUUUAAAUGAAAUGGACUUGGUAAUAGAGGUAUCAUAUCUGCUUCAUUUAUGACUCUCAUAUAAAACCAGUGGUAAAUAAAAUGAAU